rnacentral:rRNA from 1 species
AUUGAACGCUGGCGGCAGGCCUAACACAUGCAAGUCGAACGAGUGGCGGACGGGUGAGUAAUGUCUGGGAAACUGCCUGAUGGAGGGGGAUAACUACUGGAAACGGUAGCUAAUACCGCAUACCAUCGGAUGUGCCCAGAUGGGAUUAGCUAGUAGGUGGGGUAAAGGCUCACCUAGGCGACGAUCCCUAGCUGGUCUGAGAGGAUGACCGGCCACACGGGAUGUGACACAGGGUCUAGACCCCUCCGGGGGGCAGCAGGGGGAAAUAUUGCACAAUGGGCGAAAGCCUGGUGCAGCCAUGCCGCGUGUAUGAAGAAGCCUUUGGGGUUUUAAAGUACUUGCUGCGGGGGGACGUUACCCGCAGAAGAAGCACCGGCUAACUCCGUGCCAGCAGCCGCGGUAAUU